CUGGCGGCCCCGGCGGCGGCGGCAGGUGUGGAUGGGGCGAAGGUGCGGGAACGUCCACUCCCGCGCGCCCCUCUCGGGGACCAGGGCGGCCUCCCAGGAGGAGCUUGGUGAGCAGCUGCGACCUGUGCAUAACUUGGGGCGCCGCCAGGGGCUCGCAGGUUCCACGUCCGGCGCCUGGAGAAGGAAGACGCGCGUCCCCGGCCGCGGCGCCGAAGCCGGCUGGGGGACCGCCUGGUCCCGGGCCAGAGCUGGGAGGCGGUGUUCCGUGAGCCGCCUGGUCUGGGGUGCGGGGGGCGGGAAGCGGCCCCUUCGUGUGCGCUUGGGCGAGGCCGGGCGGCGCUUCUGUCCUCCUACUCGGACCCGCAGGUUUCUGGUCCUCAUACCGUGUGGUUGAGUGAAAUCAAAACUUCCACGAUAGCAAUGCUGAUUGGACAAAGAAUGUGUUGUGGACACAAAACCAAACUCUGGAGGACAGAGGAUUCAUUCCAAGGGUCUGCUUGUAUUCAAUGACUGGUCUACGUGGGGGUGUGAAGUCCCCUUACUCCACCUGUGAAGAGUCUUCCCAGUUUCAGACCACCCUCCCAGCCUCCUGUUAUUGGCUAAGGCCAUUUUGUGACUACACUGCAGGUAGAGAUGGAUUCCUGGAAAUACCUCCUCAAGGCCAGUGUAGAGCCCUCAAUCACCCACUGCCCCCAGCUUCUCCUUCUCCCAUCUCCUGCACCAAGCAGGUCUCCAGGUGUUCCAGCUGCUGAUGACGUAAAGUGUGGAGUUGGUCCAGGAAGGUCAUGUUCCAUGCAGCAGAGGAGCGCUUUGUGUGAGAAGUUGAAGACCUGCUGUAACACAUCAUAGAGGAAAGACAUAGCCUGGGCCUUCUGCAACUGGCUGACUUCCACCUUCUCCUGGGGGAAUCUGAAGUCACUUCUGUCCUUUAGACACAAGAAGGGAGAGAUUCUCCUCAUUUGGCCCAAAAGCACCAAGGUGUUCCUGCCUAGCAGGCCAUGGUUCUGAGGUAUCAAAGUCUCAACAGCCCUAGAACGCUGAUAACAAAGGGAAGCUGUAUCAAGACCUAAAUUUAACAGUUUCCUUUGAUUGCAUUGGCCCCAUGAAAAAUUUUCCCUGCAGUGGAAUGACUUGUUGGCUCCAAGGAAGAAACCACAAGAGGCAGCAGGUAGAGACAGAUUCUCUGGAAGUACCUUCUCAAGGCCAGUGUAGAGCUCC
rnacentral:lncRNA from 1 species